rnacentral:tRNA from 8 species
GGGUUUGUAGUCUAACGGCUUAGGACAUCGCCCUCACACGGCGAAAACAGGAGUUCGACUCUCCUCAAACCCA